AACAGACUGAGGAGCUCUGAGCAGGCAGAAAAUGUAUGUCCCAGAGGAAGCAGGGAGGAGUCAAUGGCUGGAAGAGGAUGGGAAACCGCCUAGAGGCCAAUCAAUAUCAAUGCCCUUGGGCCUUUGAGGGACACAGGCAGCGUCCCCAUGCCACAGAUCAAGAUGUUGAAGCCACCAAUGGGGAACGGCCAGUUUGGAAGGCUCCACCACAGAGGAGUGGAGUGGUGACCAGAUCCUGAUGGCCUCUCCUCCAUCAUCAGCAUGGCCACUGCCACCCAGGACUCAUGAGCAGUAGGUGGUCCGGCAUAGCUUACAGGGAGCUCAGGACUGGGAGUCAGAGCACCUAGGAUCCGGCUGAGCUUUACUCCCCACCUUUGGUGACAGAAGCCUUCACACCCGCAUCAGUCACACAGCAGAGGGGGGGGGCUCUUCCCCUGGCCCCUUCUGGGUCUGACCCCCC